rnacentral:rRNA from 1 species
AUUGAACGCUGGCUGCAGGCCUAACACAUGCAAGUCGAACGAGUGGCGGACAGGUGUGUCAUGUAUGGGAAACUGCCUGAUGGUGGGAGAUAACUACUGGCAACGGUAGCUACUACCGCAUACCAUCGGAUGGGCCAAGAUGGCAUUAGCUAGUAGGUGGGGUAAAGGCGCUCCUAUUCGACGAUCCGUAGCUGGUCUGAGAGGAUGAAGAGGUAAACCACAAGUGAAACGCGGUCAAGACUCGGACGGGAAGAAGCAGUGGGGAAUAUUGCAGAAUGGGCGCAAGCCUGAUGCAGCCAUGCCGCGUGUAUGAAGAAGGCCUUCGGGUUGUAAAGUACUGGUAGAGUAGAGUCGGUACCCGCAUAAGAAGCACCGGCUAACUCCGUGCCAGCAGCCGCGGUAAUUC